ACGCUCGACACCUACGAGGCAGCAGUGGGGAAUAUUGCACAAUGGGGGAAACCCUGAUGCAGCGACGCCGCGUGAGCGAAGAAGUAUUUCGGUAUGUAAAGCUCUAUCAGCAGGGAAGAUCAUGACGGUACCUGACUAAGAAGCUCCGGCUAAAUACGUGCCAACAGCCGCGGUAAUCUGAGCGGGCUGGCAAGGC
rnacentral:rRNA from 1 species